UAAAUACAUCAAGAGAGGCUCAAUUUUGGGUCCGGCAACCUGGGAUGGACACCCAAGGUGCUCACUUAUCUAGUAGGUAAGGAUGCGGUCUUAAAGAGACAAUGAAGUGUCCGGCG
rnacentral:ncRNA from 2 species